UGCAGUCGAGCGGACAGAAGGGAGCUUGCUCCCGGAUGUUAGCGGCGGACGGGUGAGUAACACGUGGGUAACCUGCCUGUAAGACUGGGAUAACUCCGGGAAACCGGAGCUAAUACCGGAUAGUUCCUUGAACCGCAUGGUUCAAGGAUGAAAGACGGUUUCGGCUGUCACUUACAGAUGGACCCGCGGCGCAUUAGCUAGUUGGUGGGGUAAUGGCUCACCAAGGCGACGAUGCGUAGCCGACCUGAGAGGGUGAUCGGCCACACUGGGACUGAGACACGGCCCAGACUCCUACGGGAGGCAGCAGUAGGGAAUCUUCCGCAAUGGACGAAAGUCUGACGGAGCAACGCCGCGUGAGUGAUGAAGGUUUUCGGAUCGUAAAGCUCUGUUGUUAGGGAAGAACAAGUGCGAGAGUAACUGCUCGCACCUUGACGGUACCUAACCAGAAAGCCACGGCUAACUACGUGCCAGCAGCCGCGGUAAUACGUAGGUGGCAAGCGUUGUCCGGAAUUAUUGGGCGUAAAGGGCUCGCAGGCGGUUUCUUAAGUCUGAUGUGAAAGCCCCCGGCUCAACCGGGGAGGGUCAUUGGAAACUGGGAAACUUGAGUGCAGAAGAGGAGAGUGGAAUUCCACGUGUAGCGGUGAAAUGCGUAGAGAUGUGGAGGAACACCAGUGGCGAAGGCGACUCUCUGGUCUGUAACUGACGCUGAGGAGCGAAAGCGUGGGGAGCGAACAGGAUUAGAUACCCUGGUAGUCCACGCCGUAAACGAUGAGUGCUAAGUGUUAGGGGGUUUCCGCCCCUUAGUGCUGCAGCUAACGCAUUAAGCACU
rnacentral:rRNA from 1 species